GUCGAGAAUCUUCCGCAAUGCGCGAAAGCGUGACGGAGCGACACCGCGUGAUGGAUGAAGUCCUUCGGGGCGUAAACAUCUUUUAUAAAGGAGGAAAUUUUUGACGUUACUUUAUGAAUAAGGGGCUCCCAAUCUCGUGCCAGCAGGAGCGGUAAUACGAGAGCCUCAAGCGUUAUCCGGAAUCAUUGGGCGUAAAGGGUGCGUAGGUGGUUUGAUUAGUCUCCCGUUAAAACUUAGAGCUUAACUCGAAAAGAGCGGGGGAAACGGUCAAACUAGAGUAUGUGAGAGGUGUGUGGAACUCAUGGUGUAGGGGUGAAAUCCGUUGAUAUCAUGGGGAACACCAAAAGCGAAGGCAGCACACUGGCACAUCACUGACACUGAGGCACGAAACCUAAGGUAGCGAAUGGGAUUAGAAACCCCUGUAGUCC
rnacentral:rRNA from 1 species